rnacentral:tRNA from 1 species
AGGGUUUUAGUUCAAGUGGUAGAGCGCAUGCUUUCCAUGCAUGAGGUCCUGGGUUCAAUCCCCAGUACCUCCU